UUACAUAGAGAAUUUGAUGUAAUUCUUAGAAUUACUAGCUUGGAAUAACCUGCAGAUUUUCUAUCCCCUCCAUAUAUACAUAUUAUAUAUUCUUUAUAACAACGAUUUUUCCAUAAAUUGUUCAAAGUUGAGAUACUUUCUAACGUAAAAAGAACGCAACUGGGUCAAAAAAACACAGCGAAUUUAAUUUCCUUCGAAACAUGAAAAUUUUAGUUUCUAAUACGUUGCUAUCGGAAAACAGCAGGUGACUAUUCGAUCGUGAUCUAAUACGACAUAGCUGAGACACAAAUCCAUGGUUUACGACGCUUCGUUGGUUAAAGUCGACACAAUGGCGUCCGUAAAGCCGCGCAGUAACGAGAGAUGGUAGCGGAAGAGCGUAACUUUGCGUUAGGAACGCUGCACCAGGAGGACGAUCGAGGAAACGAAUAGGAGCUAAGUGAAACGUAUUCGACAUGAAUCUCUUUACCGUUACGCUUGGUCGUUGGUCGAACCCACGCAUCAACGAUCGUUAUUGUAAGCCGAGGACAUAUAACGUAAUUACGGACAGUGUCGCCAGCAGAUUGCAGGCGGAGUGUCAAACGACGAAUUCAUCGCAUGUGCAAUGUGCAAAUUCCGUGUCGCCGUUGUAUUCGCCCACGCAGUACGAAUAUCACGUGUAGCAACAGCGAGACUAUACGUUCCGCUUUCGCAUCAAAUACGAAAAAUUCGAGAAUUAUGAGUAGAAUCAUGAACGCAAAUUUGCGAACUUAGUCUUGCGUGAACGUAAUUCAAAAAAUAGAAUUGCAACAGAAAUUUGUUUCGUCCCUUAGAUACUAUAACGAUUAGUAUACAUUAGGCACUUUGUAUACUUUUGUAGAUUGCAUACGCUUUCCGUGCAUUUUCGCGCUUUUAAAUUUCGUACAAAUGCGGGACAAUUUGCGCGACAAUGCGCGACACGAGGAAAAGAGCGAAUAAGUGGAAACUCUGCCAUUCAUGUAACGUGGUAGCGAUGACAAUUAUUAACCGUGCAGUGAUUCGUGUUUUACCAUGUAUUUUUAUUAAAUUAAUUGUUAAAGUUUUCUUGUAACGAGAAACUGAUAUAAUCGUGGAAUUACAAGUCAGUAAAGGCAGAUCAAUUUCGCUUAGAUUUUAAUCCUCGUGAUGGUAAAACUGACGUAAAUUGUCUUUGAUGAAGAUUAAAUGACACGCGGAAGAUAAAGAUAAGAUAUGAAUUAUGAAGUUCUUGAAAGAAUUUGAAAUUAUUUCCUGAGAUUGACAAUUGAGUGACGAGUUAUCUGAUAUUUUCCAUUUAGCAAGUUAACUUCGCGAGGAAAUACUGUCAUAGAUUUUCGUAUUACAUUAAAACGUUUGCAUUAGGCAAUUACAAUUGAAAUGACCAGAUUGGUUAACCAGAAAUAGUAGUUACGACUGACUGCGGCAAUUGAAGAUUUCGUUGCACAGAUUUUGUUACAGUGCUUCGUAAAAUCCCAUUUACAUUAGGGAAACUAUAGUCGGAAAUGGCCAGGUCGUUCAACAAGAAAUAGAAGAAUCGGCUGUCGCUGCUUCAGCGACUAGAAGUCACUUCAUCUUGUUUAACCCCUUCCCGUGCCACUUAGUUCGACAAAACUCGGGCCCAAUCGGUAGACAUCGACGCGCACUAAACAGACCAGACUGAUGCUCGUAAACAGUUGCAAUACGAACCGAAAUGUAGAAACUAACAUUCAGUGAUUCAGGAUAUAACACUGUGUUCGCACGGCUGAGUUUCAUCAACUUGAUUUCAUCGAUCAAAAGUUUUAGAAGGAUGAUGGCGCUGAUCAUGCGAUGAUAAAAUAACGAGAGUUUUCAUUCGGAUAAGACCGAGCGAGAAAAUGCACGAUAUAGAUAAAGAAAAAAACACGAUUGUUUAUGCGAUAUAAUUAACGAUACGAUUCAUUUACAAACAACGUUUUUACUCGUUCGAACAGAAAUCACUAACUCGCAAAUUGAUUAUUUCGUGCGGAAGAUUUACAAGUCUUUUCGCGAUCGAAUUCUACGGAGAACCAUUGUACUCGUCAGAGAUGAUCUCCCAAAUCGUUACCCAACGACAUUCAACAUCGUUCAAAGUAAAAUCAGUUCGAAUGAAUUUUUCGUACACAACAUAAAUGACAUCUUCAAGGAAUUUUUAAAAUUUAAAGCUUUUACCUGUUUGGGCAGGUGUAGAGAACUGCUACACGAAGGCUUAGUAUGGAUUACACAGGGCUGGCUGAGAAAGAAACGUCGGACGUAUUGAGGAAAAACGUUAUACAUGCUCCGUUAAACCCUGCGUUUCCUUCGCAGAUAAGAAUCCGCGGUAAACAAGCUUUCUGGGAACACGAGUACCUAGGUGUACAAGACCUUUACGGCCGGGCACAGGAUUAAUGAGCUGUGUAAAAGCAGCUUUCUAAAGAAUAUCUGCAACACGUCGAUCUGCCAUCUAGUAAAAGUAUAAAUUACGAUUAUCGUUAAAAAAGAUAAACGAAUAUAACAGCUUUUAAAGAAUUUCACAUUCCAUGGUAAAUUUUUCAAAAGUAAGUAAAUCUUUGAACUUCAACUAUAUCGGUUGUAAAAAAAAAAAAAUAAGAAAAAGAAGGAAGACAUCGAUAAAGUAUGUACUUCUGAGAAUAUUUUAGCGUAAUAUUUUAUAACGCGAACAUUUUACGAGCUUUAUAUUUUCUGAUCAAUUCUAUUAGGCUAUAAACCUCAAUUACUUUAGGUUUUCUAUUUUCUAUUUAUUUAUCUGCACUUAAAUCUUAAGCAAUAUACUCGAUGCAUUUCGUUGUAGAUAAGAAAUAAGCGAUAAAUGUCGUAUAAAAUAUCGAACACCAUUUGAACAGUUUGAUACGUACACGUAAAAGUAAAGUGUAGCAAUAUAUAAGAGGAAGAUAUGGAAUAAAGUAAUUUAAACUCCGUGUCUCUGUUAAUAAUGUGUAUAACGUGUAAUAAAAAGUACAAAAUUAUCAGAAUAGUUAAAAUGUUGUGUAUAAGAAACAAACUGUUUUUCAUGUACGUGUUUGCUGCCAGGAAAAUAUCAUUAAUAGCAGCAAACAGUCAAUCUUAUAAACAAUAUUCUUAUGAAUAAACACAAUAAUAUGUUUUGUUAAAUAAAUAGUUUGUUUUUGGAGA